ensembl:lncRNA
CCUUCUCCUCCUGCCCCCAGUCCCUCCCAGCAUCACAGUCUUUUCCAAUGAGUCAACUCUUCGCAUGAAGUGGCCAACGUACCGGAGUUUCAGCUUUAGCAUCAUUCCUUCCAAAGAACACCCAGGAGUAUCAGCCUCUAAACACUGGCUUCUGGGGUGGAUUUCCUUUGGGGGAACCAACAGUCGUGUUUGAUCCUACUUCAUGGCUGGAAUGGGGCAAGAACAGAAGUGGCCCUGAGAGGACAGGCACAUCCAUUUCCUAACUCUGACGGACCAGUAAAAAUCACUGAAACGUGGCAGCCAUCUUUGUCUCCCCCUCACUCGCCCCGCUUCAUCCGUGAAAAGUCCAGUUGCUGUGGAUUCUGCGUCUCCAGUCUCCCUUAUUUACCGAAUUUAAUCUUCAAAACAAGCCUGGAGGCAUUACUGUCCACAUGUUUGCAAAUGAGGACACAGGCUGAAGGAGGAAGAGCUGAGACACUCAAUAUUCCAGGAGCCAAACUUGAGAUCUCAGAGUCAGAUAUAAACUUAGUUUUUCAAGAAAACUACAUGGAAAAUUACUGUUGACUAUUGCUCAUCUGGGGAGCCCAAACUUACUGAUAGUGAGGAAACUACCCCAGUGAGACCUCUGAAUCCUCUGAUUUGCUGAAUUUGAGGGGUGUUUGGAGGUAGGGCGGGGAAUAGGAGUUCUAUAGCAAGAGCUUAAAAG